ACUCCUACGGGAGGCAGCAGUAAGGAAUAUUGGUCAAUGGGCGGAAGCCUGAACCAGCCAUCCCGCGUGCAGGAUGAAGGCCCUAUGGGUUGUAAACUGCUUUAGACUGAGAAGAAACCCCUCAAUGCGUUGGGGGCUGACGGUAUCAGUAGAAUAAGCACCGGCUAACUCCGUGCCAGCAGCCGCGGUAAUG
rnacentral:rRNA from 1 species